rnacentral:tRNA from 6 species
GGUGUGUAGCUCAGGUGGUAGAGCACUUGACUUUUAAUCAAGUUGUCCGGGGUUCGAAUCCCCGCA